GGCUCAGGAUGAACGCUAGCGGCAGGCUUAACACAUGCAAGUCGAGGGGCAGCAUAAUGGAUAGCAAUAUCUAUGGUGGCGACCGGCGCACGGGUGCGUAACGCGUAUGCAACCUACCUUUAACAGGGGGAUAACACUGAGAAAUUGGUACUAAUACCCCAUAAUAUCAUAGAAGGCAUCUUUUAUGGUUGAAAAUUCCGAUGGUUAGAGAUGGGCAUGCGUUGUAUUAGCUAGUUGGUGGGGUAACGGCUCACCAAGGCGACGAUACAUAGGGGGACUGAGAGGUUAACCCCCCACACUGGUACUGAGACACGGACCAGACUCCUACGGGAGGCAGCAGUGAGGAAUAUUGGUCAAUGGACGCAAGUCUGAACCAGCCAUGCCGCGUGCAGGAUGACGGCUCUAUGAGUUGUAAACUGCUUUUGUACGAGGGUAAACGCAGAUACGUGUAUCUGUCUGAAAGUAUCGUACGAAUAAGGAUCGGCUAACUCCGUGCCAGCAGCCGCGGUAAUACGGAGGAUUCAAGCGUUAUCCGGAUUUAUUGGGUUUAAAGGGUGCGUAGGCGGUUUGAUAAGUUAGAGGUGAAAUUUCGGGGCUCAACCCUGAACGCGCCUCUAAUACUGUUGAGCUAGAGAGUAGUUGCGGUAGGCGGAAUGUAUGGUGUAGCGGUGAAAUGCUUAGAGAUCAUACAGAACACCGAUUGCGAAGGCAGCUUACCAAACUAUAUCUGACGUUGAGGCACGAAAGCGUGGGGAGCAAACGGGAUUAGAUACCCUGGUAGUCCACGCAGUAAACG
rnacentral:rRNA from 1 species